rnacentral:lncRNA from 1 species
AAAACUUCAGUUAACUUUGCCUUUCCAAUUAAGGUUCCAUUCAGACUUCAUUUGGAAUCAUUUUGGACCUUUUUGCAUUGCAUCAUGGGCCUGCACAUGCCCAUGCACUCGUGCCAUCCACAUUACUAAUUUUGGAGAAAUUUUGAAGUGUGCAAAUAUCAUUCAUUCAUGCUAUAAAUACAUGACUUCUGUGCUCAUUUGAAACAGACCUUGUGCGCCAGCUUUGCC